rnacentral:lncRNA from 1 species
CUUCUAUCAUAAAUGGGAUGGACAAGUAGCAAUAUAGGUCAGGAAAAAAAACUUAAUUCACUUUCACGACCUUUUGCCGUAAAAAAAUCUACAUGAAUCAUAAAAGGGAUGGAUCCCGAAUGAGCAAAGUAGCAAUAUAUGCAGCAAAAAAUAAACUGAAUUUACUUUCGCCACCCUUUGCUAUACAAUUAAUAGGCUAG